CAAACUUGAAAGUGUAUAAAUACAACCGCAACAUCUAAGGCAGAAUUUUAAUCAAAUUUCUCCAGUGCUUCUGCAUCAUUCUGUAACUGUGACCUCUCACUUUUUGUGUAAUUUUCCUUUCCUGCAUUUUGACCUAUUCCAUGAGUGCUCUUAAGUAAACUAGUACUGACCAAAGACCAGGUGAGAGGGAGAGAGAAAUAUGAAGCAUGUCGGGCAGCGCUCAGUGGGUUUUUGAAAAGACUAUUAUGUCUACCAUUGCAUUUUGUUUUUCUGAGCGCACAAAUCCGAAGCAGGCGCACGGAAAGCGGCUGUCACGCGGCAUAUAGGAUUUCAUUUUGAUCAGCACAUUGAAAACAUCAGGGUGGAGAGGGAGAUGAAUCUGGUUUGAAAUGAGGCGACCACAGGCAGCAUCUCACUGCAACUUUUAUUUUCGAGAAGAGUUCUGGGACCCUGCCGUGACCGGUCGUCGAAAAAUGUACUUUUAAUUUUACUUCAUGUCCAAGAGAACAGCAAUAAA